GACGAACGCUGGCGGCGUGCCUAAUACAUGCAAGUUGAGCGAUGAAGAUUGGUGCUUGCACCAAUUUGAAGAGCAGCGAACGGGUGAGUAACGCGUGGGGAAUCUGCCUUUGAGCGGGGGACAACAUUUGGAAACGAAUGCUAAUACCGCAUAACAACUUUAAACAUAAGUUUUAAGUUUGAAAGACGCAAUUGCAUCACUCAAAGAUGAUCCCGCGUUUUAUUAGCUAGUUGGUGAGGUAAAGGCUCACCAAGGCGAUGAUACAUAGCCGACCUGAGAGGGUGAUCCGCCACAUUGGGACGUAGACACGGCCCAAACUCCUACGGGAGGCAGCAGGAGGGAAGCUUCGGCAAUGGGCGAAAGGCUGACCGAGCAACGCCGCGGGAGUGAAGAAGGGUUUCGGAUCGUAAAACUCUGUUGGUAGAGAAGAACGUUGGUGAGAGUGAAAAGCUCAUCAAGUGACGGUAACUACCCAGAAAGGGACGGCUAACUACGUG
rnacentral:rRNA from 1 species